rnacentral:rRNA from 1 species
GAUGAACGCUGGCGGCGUGCCUAAUACAUGCAAGUCGAGCGAACGGACGAGAAGCUUGCUUUUCUGAUGUUAGCGGCGGACGGGUGAGUAACACGUGGAUAACCUACCUAUAAGACUGGGAUAACUUCGGGAAACCGGAGCUAAUACCGGAUAAUAUUUUGAACCGCAUGGUUCAAAAGUGAAAGACGGUCUUGCUGUCACUUAUAGAUGGAUCCGCGCUGCAUUAGCUAGUUGGUAAGGUAACGGCUUACCAAGGCAACGAUGCAUAGCCGACCUGAGAGGGUGAUCGGCCACACUGGAACUGAGACACGGUCCAGACUCCUACGGGAGGCAGCAGUAGGGAAUCUUCCGCAAUGGGCGAAAGCCUGACGGAGCAACGCCGCGUGAGUGAUGAAGGUCUUCGGAUCAUAAAACUCUGUUAUUAGGGAAGAACAUAUGUGUAAGUAACUGUGCACAUCUUGACGGUACCUAAUCAGAAAGCCACGGCUAACUACGUGCCAGCAGCCGCGGUAAUACGUAGGUGGCAAGCGUUAUCCGGAAUUAUUGGGCGUAAAGCGCGCGUAGGCGGUUUUUUAAGUCUGAUGUGAAAGCCCACGGCUCAACCGUGGAGGGUCAUUGGAAACUGGAAAACUUGAGUGCAGAAGAGGAAAGUGGAAUUCCAUGUGUAGCGGUGAAAUGCGCAGAGAUGUGGAGGAACACCAGUGGCGAAGGCGACUUUCUGGUCUGUAACUGACGCUGAUGUGCGAAAGCGUGGGGAUCAAACAGGAUUAGAUACCCUGGUAGUCCACGCCGUAAACGAUGAGUGCUAAGUGUUAGGGGGUUUCCGCCCCUUAGUGCUGCAGCUAACGCAUUAAGCACUCCGCCUGGGGAGUACGACCGCAAGGUUGAAACUCAAAGGAAUUGACGGGGGCCCGCACAAGCGGUGGAGCAUGUGGUUUAAUUCGAAGCAACGCGAAGAACCUUACCAAAUCUUGACAUCCUUUGACAACUCUAGAGAUAGAGCCUUCCCCUUCGGGGGACAAAGUGACAGGUGGUGCAUGGUUGUCGUCAGCUCGUGUCGUGAGAUGUUGGGUUAAGUCCCGCAACGAGCGCAACCCUUAAGCUUAGUUGCCAUCAUUAAGUUGGGCACUCUAAGUUGACUGCCGGUGACAAACCGGAGGAAGGUGGGGAUGACGUCAAAUCAUCAUGCCCCUUAUGAUUUGGGCUACACACGUGCUACAAUGGACAAUACAAAGGGCAGCGAAACCGCGAGGUCAAGCAAAUCCCAUAAAGUUGUUCUCAGUUCGGAUUGUAGUCUGCAACUCGACUACAUGAAGCUGGAAUCGCUAGUAAUCGUAGAUCAGCAUGCUACGGUGAAUACGUUCCCGGGUCU